rnacentral:rRNA from 1 species
AUUGAACGCUGGCGGCAUGCCUUACACAUGCAAGUCGAACGGCAGCACGGGUGCUUGCACCUGGUGGCGAGUGGCGAACGGGUGAGUAAUGCAUCGGAACGUGCCCGAUUGUGGGGGAUAACGCACCGAAAGGUGUGCUAAUACCGCAUAAUCUCUGAGGAGGAAAGCAGGGGAUCUUAGGACCUUGCGCAGUUGGAGCGGCCGAUGUCGGAUUAGCUAGUUGGUGAGGUAACGGCUUACCAAGGCGACGAUCCGUAGCUGGUCUGAGAGGAUGAUCAGCCACACUGGGACUGAGACACGGCCCAGACUCCUACGGGAGGCAGCAGUGGGGAAUUUUGGACAAUGGGGGGAACCCUGAUCCAGCCAUGCCGCGUGAGUGAAGAAGGCCUUCGGGUUGUAAAGCUCUUUCAGCCGGGAAGAAAUUGCACAGGCUAAUACCUUGCUGUUUUGACGUUACCAACAGAAUAAGCACCGGCUAACUUCGUGCCAGCAGC